UCGUAACAAGGUCUCCGUUGGUGAACCAGCGGAGGGAUCAUUACCGAGUUGCAAAACUCCCAAACCCACUGUGAACCUAUACCACUGUUGCUUCGGCGGAUACGCCCCGGGCGCACCCCCUCAGGGGGUUGUGCCCCGGAACCAGGCGCCCGCCGGGGGACCGAAACCUCUGUAUUUGCCAUUUGAGUACUCUGAGUGUGAUUUACAAAAUCAAAAUUAAAACUUUCAACAACGGAUCUCUUGGCUCUAGCAUCGAUGAAGAACGCAGCGAAAUGCGAUAAGUAAUGCGAAUUGCAGAAUUCAGUGAAUCAUCGAAUCUUUGAACGCACAUUGCGCCCGCCAGUAUUCUGGCGGGCAUGCCUGUCUGAGCGUCGUUUCGACCCUCGCGCCCGGCUUCUGUCGGGGGCGGUGUUGGGGAUCGGCCACACCCACUCCGGUGGGAGGCCGGCCCCUAAAUCCAGUGGCGACCACGCUGUAGCCUCCCCUGCGUAGUACUAAAACCACCUCGCAGGCGGAGAGCGGUGCGGCCCGCCGUAAAACCCCCAACUUUUACAAGGUCGACCUCAGAUCAGGUAGGAAUACCCGCUGAACUUAAGCAUAUCAAUAA
rnacentral:misc_RNA from 1 species